UACGGAGGGUGCAAGCGUUAUCCGGAUUUACUGGGUUUAAAGGGUGCGUAGGCGGGCUUUUAAGUCAGUGGUGAAAUCUCCGGGCUCAACCCGGAAGUUGCCAUUGAUACUAUUAGUCUUGAAUUAAGUUGAGGUGGGCGGAAUGUGUCAUGUAGCGGUGAAAUGCUUAGGUAUGACACAGAACACCGAUUGCGAAGGCAGCUCGCUAAACUUAUAUUGACGCUGAGGCACGAAAGCGUGGGGAUCAAACAGG
rnacentral:rRNA from 1 species